CUGAUUUCUUAGCGCAUUUCAAACUCACCCAUCAAAGUCUCAGAGCUCAUUCCUUGAAGAACAAUUGCACUCUCAGGUUCCUCCAAACAUCUAUCUAUAUAUGUAUGUAUGUAUAUAUAUGUGUAUGUUACAUUUUCUAUCUUGAAAAUUUGGGGAUGAUUUUUUUUAGCUUACUCAUCUUUAGUUUCUAACUUAUAUCUCUAGCAGGGACAAUCACAAUGGUGAUAUCGAAGUGUAUAGGAAUUGUUGAUUAUUAGUGGGUUAUUUAAGAUUAAAAGUAGGGUUAAAAGAUUUCUGUAUGUUAUUUUGUUUCCCUUUGUAAUUGGCAUUAUAUUUGUAUUUGCAUUACACUGAAGAGCCAUGUGCUUCUACAUUGUUUGUGAAAGUCGGAGAAGAAGACAGAAAGAAUCUCUGUUAUAAACCUUUUCCCCAUUUUUAUUUUUUCAUUUGUAGCUCAGAGGAAAAAAAAUUGUGAAAAAUUUUCAUGACUAAAAAUGAGGACUUUAACCUCCUCAAGACUUAGGUUUCUCUCAUAGUUGGUAAGUAAUUUAUCCCAAAACUUUUACGGUGAACAACAGUGGCCGGUUCCGUCACAGAACCAGCCAAUAUAGCGGCUAGUUCGCUAGGAAAAAUUUUGACCCGUUUUUGCUUGUGGGUCGUGGACCCUAAUUUGUACUCUCUUGUAGCUCGAUUUAUAAAGGCGAUUAGGGUUUGAAGCGGGAAAUAGUGAAAACUUUCGAUGGAUCUCCACCUGGAUGUAGGCUUUGCCGAACCACGCUAAAUCUUUAUGUUCUUUGUGUGUGGUGUGAUUACUGUUUCUUGAUUUAUUCUCGGGUUCGCUGAGUUUUUCGUAACAUAUUGUAAUGCAGGUAAUAUACAUUUUAAACAGUUAUAUGAAUUAUCCACUUGAAUAUUGAAGUAUGACAAAACCUUUUCAUGAGAUUAGAGGCUAUCGGGAACCAAAAAUCAUGUCUGUCAAUACCAAAUGCUCUUGAGCUUUCAUACUGCCCUGCUCCAAGUCUCAAACUAAUGCCUCUCACUUUAUCAUCUUAGGAGCUGAUAUCUUCUAUUAAAGCUUGUCUUGCUUUGUACAUGCAUAUAGUUGGGUAGACGCAAUGCUUCGCAACAAUUCCCUGGCAUGUUUUCGUGAAGGGGGAAACGCCAACGAAAGGAGGCACCAAAAAGAUCAAAUGUUUUCGGAAAGGUCUCUGCAAGAGGUUUUGAUCUUUUUUUAUCAACCUCUCUAGUAAGGUUCACAACAAGUCUGCUUAGAGUUGCAGAUGAAUCAUUAUACUUGUCCUCCAUUUCCAGCAGCCUUUGAUUACACUUGCGCUCCAUUUCCUGCGGCCUUUGAUUUUUGCUAUCGUUCUCCAUGGUGGUUUUCGUACUGCUGUUUGUUUACAAGAGUUUUCAACCAAAUGGUUUGAAGUUUGAGGAAAUCAAUGGGGAAAACAACUGCCAUCUUCACCAUUGUUGCGAAGCUUCAAAGUUAACAAGAGGGGUUAUCCAAAUUCUUGCAGUGGUUGGAGAUCGAGGCAGUUCAAACUUCGUACUUCCAUAAAUCUUCAACAAUUAGCUCAGGUGAGGCACGUUUUGACUUUGCGUUGAUGUGAGUGGUAAAAGAGGUGUAUAGAGAAUAGUAUAAAUGCUGUAAACUAUAGUAUGGAUUGGGCAAAAUAAGAGGCAAUUGUCUCUCCAUGUGGGUAAGUUUUGAACUCCAGAAUUGGGUACAAAACUUGGUAGUACUUCUUUUAGAAUGUUUCUAUUCAGGAACUACUCUGAAGAUGUGUUUAGCAGAGCAUAUUUUAAGAAAAUUUCUUGGGAGGAUCUGCAUUUAGAGAAGUAUUAAAACAAAUAUUGGAAUAUACUGAAUAUAAUUGUUUUAUAAAGUUUGCCAUUUUGGUCUUCAGAAAUGCAAAAAAAAAAAAAAAAAAAAAAAAAAAAAAAAAAAAAAUGAAAGAAUUUAUCAAGUGCAUGAAAUUUGUUUAACACCAGCAAAGAAUUUCAGAAAAAUGGAUGUUUUCAUGUACUACACACAGUAUCUGUGAAGAUCUUGCUUGAUUUUCUAAAUCUG